AUUGAACGCUGGCGGCAGGCCUAACACAUGCAAGUCGAGCGGAUGACGGGAGCUUGCUCCUUGAUUCAGCGGCGGACGGGUGAGUAAUGCCUAGGAAUCUGCCUGGUAGUGGGGGACAACGUUUCGAAAGGAACGCUAAUACCGCACACGUCCUACGGGAGAAAGCAGGGGACCUUCGGGCCUUGCGCGAUCAGAUGAGCCUAGGUCGGAUUAGCUAGUUGGUGGGGUAAUGGCUCACCAAGGCGACGAUCCGUAACGGGUCUGAGAGGAUGAUCAGUCACACUGGAACUGAGACACGGUCCAGACUCCUACGGGAGGCAGCAGUGGGGAAUAUUGGACAAUGGGCGAAAGCCUGAUCCAGCCAUGCCGCGUGUGUGAAGAAGGUCUUCGGAUUGUAAAGCACUUUAAGUUGGGAGGAAGGGUAGUAAGUUAAUACCUUGCUGUUUUGACGUUACCGACAGAAUAAGCACCGGCUAACUCUGUGCCAGCAGCCGCCGUAA
rnacentral:rRNA from 1 species